rnacentral:rRNA from 1 species
AACGAACGCUGGCGGCAGGCCUAACGCAUGCAAGUCGAGCGAAGCCCUCGGGCUUAGCGGCGGACGGGUGAGUAACGCGUGGGAACGUGCCCUUUGGUACGGAAUAGCCCCGGGAAACUGGGAGUAAUACCGUAUGUGCCCUUCGGGGGAAAGAUUUAUCGCCAAAGGAUCGGCCCGCGUUGGAUUAGGUAGUUGGUGGGGUAAUGGCCUACCAAGCCGACGAUCCAUAGCUGGUUUGAGAGGAUGAUCAGCCACACUGGGACUGAGACACGGCCCAGACUCCUACGGGAGGCAGCAGUGGGGAAUCUUAGACAAUGGGGGAAACCCUGAUCUAGCCAUGCCGCGUGAUCGAUGAAGGCCUUAGGGUUGUAAAGAUCUUUCAGUGGGGAAGAUAAUGACUGUACCCACAGAAGAAGCCCCGGCUAACUCCGUGCCAGCAGCCGCGGUAACAC